rnacentral:rRNA from 1 species
UACGAAGGGGGCUAGCGUUGCUCGGAAUCACUGGGCGUAAAGGGCGCGUAGGCGGACUCUUAAGUCGGGGGUGAAAGCCCAGGGCUCAACCCUGGAAUUGCCUUCGAUACUGAGAGUCUUGAGUUCGGAAGAGGUUGGUGGAACUGCGAGUGUAGAGGUGAAAUUCGUAGAUAUUCGCAAGAACACCAGUGGCGAAGGCGGCUCACUGGACCGGUAUUGACGCUGAGGUGCGAAAGCGUGGGGAGCAAACAGG